AAACAAGGUUUUACUGUGUCUGUGAAAAAUAUUUAACACUUGGGCUAAAAGCUAUUUAUGAAUAGAAUUUUAUAUGGCGAAAAAUAAACAUGCAUAAAAAUGUGCACAGAGGAGGGAACUGGCUAUUACUAUAAAUAGCUUGCAUCUGUGUGAGCCAAUGAGAAGCGCUCAGUGCUUUGACUGGUUCCCCCCCAAGUGGAGGAGGCGGGAACCAGUCAUACCAACUGGGAUCAAAUUUUAGC